GAGAGGGGGUGAAUAGUGACCGAGUGAGGGAGGGAGAGGGUGACUAGUGACAGAGUGAGGAAGGGGGUGACACAGUGAUAGUCACCCCAUUCCUCCCUCUGUCAGUAAUCACCACCUCCCUCACUCUCACUAGUCACCCCUUCCCUCCCUCACUCUGUCACUAGUCACACCCUCCCUCUCUCUGUCACUAGUCACACCCUCCCUCUC